rnacentral:lncRNA from 1 species
GCAAGUACAGAGGAGGGACUUGGUUUUUUGAAGUUUGGAGCUCGAAUGGCCAACGGGUUUAAAGGGAAAGUCGGUGGCAGCAGCAGGCUUGGCGGUGAUGGCAGGUUGUGAGCACGGUGAUGGUGCUGCAGCCCGAGUGGUGGAGGAUAUCCAAUAGGCAUUGCCGACGGUGGGGGUGAGGAAGAGGCGUGAUUGGGAAGGGCGGGGGAGGGGUAGCGAUUGGAGUCGGGCAAAAUGGCAUGGCAGCAAGGUCACCCCGGGGCGUGGGUGGUGGUGGAGGCAGUAGGGUGGCCUGGUACAGUGCUGUGUGUCGCCAUUGUAGUAGGGAAAGAAGAAAGAGGAAAGGAGGAAGAAGAAUGACAGAGGUAGCCCUUCGGUUGCUGCUAAGUGCUCACGAUGAAUAAGCGCCCACCCAUAUCCCUGGUAUAAACCUAAUCGAAUAUGAGAUGGUUUAACUUUGAACAAAUUUAAAAAUAAUUAUAUUAGGAAACGAGGGAGUAUUUGUUAAGCAUGGUAUUGUAGAAAAUAAAAUUACCCAAAUAAAAUUACCCAUUAAUCAUUUGAGUUGGAUGCACGAGAUUCGCGGUCUUGUUCAUAUUUGUAUUAGGGCAUCCACAAUGUGGGCAAAAAGGUAGCAUUAAGCAUUUAAUGCUCCUAAAGUUAUGCACCAUUGUGGAGCUGUACAUAAG